AUUGAACGCUGGCGGCAGGCCUAACACAUGCAAGUCGAACGGUAACAGGAAGAAGCUUGCUUCUUUGCUGACGAGUGGCGGACGGGUGAGUAAUGUCUGGGAAACUGCCUGAUGGAGGGGGAUAACUACUGGAAACGGUAGCUAAUACCGCAUAACGUCGCAAGACCAAAGAGGGGGACCUUCGGGCCUCUUGCCAUCGGAUGUGCCCAGAUGGGAUUAGCUAGUAGGUGGGGUAACGGCUCACCUAGGCGACGAUCCCUAGCUGGUCUGAGAGGAUGACCGGCCACACUGGAACUGAGACACGGUCCAGACUCCUACGGGAGGCAGCAGUGGGGAAUAUUGAACAAUGGGCGCAAGCCUGCUGCAGCCAUGCCGCGUGUAUGAAGAAGGCCUUCGGGUUGUAAAGUACUUUCAGCGGGGAGGAAGGGAGUAAAGUUAAUACCUUUGCUUAUUGACGUUACCCGCAGAAGAAGCACCGGCUAACUCCGUG
rnacentral:rRNA from 1 species